rnacentral:lncRNA from 12 species
UAGGGAAGAGUAUAGCUGCUGAAGAAAACAACUUUUCAUAUUUCUAGAUCAGAGAUUGAACCAAAAGAAGUACAAAGUCCCUGAAGUGUCACACUGCCAGCUUUGAUGCAUUCAAUUCUGAACCUCCAAAUACAGAAUUACUCCAAGAUGUCAAAGGGAUAAUACUUGGAAGACAUUCAACCACUACAUCUAAUCCUGAGACAUCCCUAAUUCUUGGUUGUCCCUUGGUUUCAUGUGAACAACUCUUCUGGAGUACUCAGAUCAUAUGCCUGUGAAAGAGAGACCAUGAAGCCUCCUGCUUUAAGGAACACAGCAUUUCAGAGUCUUUCUGAAGAAACUGGAAGAAAUCAGUAGAAACUCUGCCCCCACUGAUCACCAAAUGUGUGAAGAGGAAGAGACAGAGAUGUGCAGCCACUAGCGGAUUCCCACGUCUGUUUCUUGGAGACGCAGCAGUCCAUGCAGCCGGAUCUGACUCCAGCACCCCGGCCCUCCGGCGCAGCCUCGCCCCGCGGCUACACAGCCCGCCCUCCUCCCACCCGGCCCCACCAGCCCGGCUCCCCCGCGUGUUGCUGUCUGAAAUCCUCCGCUAUUUGGCUCCCACUGACUUUUCAUACUUCAAAGCCAAAAUUGAAUUUGCCUUUAUAAAGCAAACAUUUCUUGUUCAACGGGGAGGUUUUAUGGUUUCCUCUUGUUCGCCUUGUGGAAGGCCUCUUCCAAGGUGGGGAAGGAUCUUCUGAAGUUUUCAGGAUUAUUGUUGAUUUUUACUGUGAGAGAAAGGAGGACUGA